GAUGAACGCUAGCGACAGGCUUAACACAUGCAAGUCGAGGGGCAGCACAGGUAGCACUACCGGGUGGCGACCGGCGCACGGGUGAGUAACGCGUAUGCAACUUACCUAUCAGAGGGGGAUAACCCGGCGAAAGUCGGACUAAUACCGCAUGAAGCAGGGGUCCCGCAUGGGGAUAUUUGCUAAAGAUUCAUCGCUGAUAGAUAGGCAUGCGUUCCAUUAGGCAGUUGGCGGGGUAACGGCCCACCAAACCGACGAUGGAUAGGGGUUCUGAGAGGAAGGUCCCCCACAUUGGUACUGAGACACGGACCAAACUCCUACGGGAGGCAGCAGUGAGGAAUAUUGGUCAAUGGCCGAGAGGCUGAACCAGCCAAGUCGCGUGAGGGAUGAAGGUUCUAUGGAUCGUAAACCUCUUUUAUAAGGGAAUAAAGUGCGGGACGUGUCCCGUUUUGUAUGUACCUUAUGAAUAAGGAGCGGCUAACUCCGUG
rnacentral:rRNA from 1 species